UGCUUGAUUGUAUUUGUUUGUGUUUUUAAAAUUGUAUUUUUAUGUUUCCAGUCUUAUUUUUAAUAUUUCUAAAGUACGGAAAAUAUCAAACGAAGAGAUAACCAAGUUAAAGAAAAACAAUGAAGAAUUCCUAAUCAUACCGAUAGUAUUAAAGAAUGAAGUCUUCAAAAUUAACAGAAUAACCGAACUCCACUACCUACCCCAUAAUGCGAGGUUUACAGUAAUUAUUCAACUUACAUGAAGCAGUCAGAAAGUUUAUUGAGAUUUGAGAAAUAAAGUUACACUCAUAAGUAGCAAAACAGUGGAUGAAGAAGUGUGGGAUUAUGAGUGAUUAUUUCAUUCUAAAGCAGACAUAAUCAAGUCUUGCUCACUAUCAUGAAAAUUUACAAUAACAAUCAGCAAGAAAAACUUCAAGGGUACUGGCUAGGCUAACCAAUUCAUGGAAUUCUGUUUGUAUUUGAAAUUAUAAAUAGCUAUUGUAAAACAAAAGUUUUCCAAAUAAAGAUUUUGUAAAUAAUG